AGCGAACGCUGGCGGCAGGCCUAACACAUGCAAGUCGAACGAACCUUUCGGGGUUAGUGGCGGACGGGUGAGUAACACGUGGGAACGUGCCUUUAGGUUCGGAAUAACUCAGGGAAACUUGUGCUAAUACCGAAUGUGCCCUUCUGGGGAAAGAUUAAUCGCCUUUAGAGCGGCCCGCGUCUGAUUAGCUAGUUGGUUGAGGUAAUGGCUCACCAAGGCGACGAUAAGUAGCUGGUCUGAGAGGAUGAUCAGCCACAUUGGGACUGAGACACGGCCCAAACUCCUACGGGAGGCAGCAGUGGGGAAUCUUGCGCAAUGGGCGAAAGCAUGACGCAGCCAUGCCGCGUGAAUGAUGAAGGUAUUAGGAUUGUAAAAUUCUUUCAACGGGGACGAUAAUGACGGUACCCGGAGAAGAAGCCCCGGCUAACUUCGUG
rnacentral:rRNA from 1 species